AUGGCUGGUUAGCGACCUACGGAAUGGAUAACCGCUGAAAGCAUCUAAGUGGGAAGCCAGCUCCAAGAUGAGAUUACCCACCGGGUUAACCGGGUAAGGCCCGUGGCAGACCACCACGUUGAUAGGCCGGAAGUGUAAGCGCAGCAAUGCGUUCAGCUGACCGGUACUAAUCGGCCGAGGGCUUGAUAACAA
rnacentral:rRNA from 1 species